rnacentral:rRNA from 1 species
CCUACGGGAGGCAGCAGUGGGGGAUAUUGCACAAUGGGGGAAACCCUGAUGCAGCGACGCCGCGUGAGUGAAGAAGUAUUUCGGUAUGUAAAGCUCUAUCAGCAGGGAAGAAAAUGAUGGUACUAGAUUAAGAAGCCGCGGCUAACAACGUGCCAGCAGCCGCGGCAAUACGUAGGGGGCAAGCGUUAUCCGGCAUUACUGGUUGUAAAGGGAGCGUAGACGGCAGCACAAGGCUGGAGUGAAAGGCCGGGGCUUAACCCCCGAACUGCUUUGGAAACUGUGCAGCUAGAGUGCAGGAGAGGUAAGUGGAAUUCCUAGUGUAGCGGUGAAAUGCGUAGAUAUUAGGAGGAACACCAGUGGCGAAGGCGGCCUACUGGACUGUAACUGACGUUGAGGCUCGAAAGCGUGGGGAGCAAACAGGAUUAGAUACCCGUGUAGUC